rnacentral:rRNA from 1 species
UAGCCGUAAAACGAUACUCGCUAGGUGUCGGCCACGGUGCGACCGUUGUCGGUGCCGUAGGGAAGCCGUGAAGCGAGCCACCUGGGAAGUACGGCCGCAAGGCUGAAACUUAAAGGAAUUGGCGGGGGAGCACCACAACGGGUGGAGCUUGCGGUUUAAUUGGAUUCAACGCCGGAAAUCUUACCGGGACCGACAGCAACAUGAAGGCCAGGCUGAAGACUUUGCCGGAUUAGCUGAGAGGUGGUGCAUGGCGUAGUCGUGU